rnacentral:rRNA from 1 species
GAUGAACGCUGGCGGCGUGCCUAAUACAUGCAAGUCGAGCGAAUGACGAGGAGCUUGCUCCUCUGAUUUAGCGGCGGACGGGUGAGUAACACGUGGGUAACCUGCCUGUAAGACGGGGAUAACUCCGGGAAACCGGAGCUAAUACCGGAUGAUAACGAGAAGCGCCUGCUUCUUUUUUGAAAGUCGGUUUCGGCUGACGCUUACAGAUGGGCCCGCGGCGCAUUAGCUAGUUGGUGAGGUAACGGCUCACCAAGGCGACGAUGCGUAGCCGACCUGAGAGGGUGAUCGGCCACACUGGGACUGAGACACGGCCCAGACUCCUACGGGAGGCAGCAGUAGGGAAUCUUCGGCAAUGGACGAAAGUCUGACCGAGCAACGCCGCGUGAGCGAUGAAGGCCUUCGGGUCGUAAGGCUCUGUUGUCAGAGAAGAACAAGUACCGGAGUAACUGCCGGUACCUUGACGGUACCUGACCAGAAAGCCACGGCUAACUACGUGCCAGCAGCCGCCGUAAGAC